UGGGGAAUUUUGGACAAUGGGCGAAAGCCUGAUCCAGCAAUGCCGCGUGUGUGAAGAAGGCCUUCGGGUUGUAAAGCACUUUUGUCCGGAAAGAAAUCCUUGGCUCUAAUACAGUCGGGGGAUGACGGUACCGGAAGAAUAAGCACCGGCUAACUACGUGCCAGCAGCCGCGGUAAUACGUAGGGUGCAAGCGUUAAUCGGAAUUACUGGGCGUAAAGCGUGCGCAGGCGGUUUGCUAAGACCGAUGUGAAAUCCCCGGGCUCAACCUGGGAACUGCAUUGGUGACUGGCAGGCUAGAGUAUGGCAGAGGGGGGUAGAAUUCCACGUGUAGCAGUGAAAUGCGUAGAGAUGUGGAGGAAUACCGAUGGCGAAGGCAGCCCACUGGGCCAAUACUGACGCUCAUGCACGAAAAGCGUGGGGAGCAAAACAGGAUUAAUACCCUGGUAGUCCACGCCCUAAACGAUGUCAACUAGUUGUUGGGGAUUCAUUUCCUUAGUAACGUAGCUAACGCGUGAAGUUGACCGCCUGGGGAGUACGGUCGCAAGAUUAAAACUUAAA
rnacentral:rRNA from 1 species